rnacentral:rRNA from 1 species
UUCCUACGGGGCGCAGCAGUAGGGAAUCUUCCACAAUGGACGAAAGUCUGAUGGAGCAACGCCGCGUGAGUGAAGAAGUAUUUCGGUACGUAAAGCUCUAUCAGCAGGGAAGAAUAAUGACGGUACCUGACUAAGAAGCCCCGGCUAACUACGUGCCAGCAGCCGCGGUAAUACGUAGGGGGCAAGCGUUAUCCGGAUUUACUGGGUGUAAAGGGAGCGUAGACGGCUGUGCAAGUCUGAAGUGAAAUGCCGGGGCCCAACCCCGGAACUGCUUUGGAAACUGUACAGCUAGAGUGCAGGAGGGG